rnacentral:rRNA from 1 species
GGCAGACGGGUGAGUAACAUGUGGGUAUCUGCCCUUUGGCCUGGAAUAACACGAGGAAACUUGUGCUAAUACCGGAUAAGUCUUUACGGAGAAAGCUUUAUGCACCAUUGGAUGAGCCCGCACUUGAUUAGUUAGUUGGUAGGGUAAUGGCCUACCAAGACUGUGAUCAAUAGCUGAUUUGAGAGGAUGAUCAGCCACAUUGGGACUGAGACACGGCCCAAACUCCUACGGGAGGCAGCAGUGGGGAAUCUUGCACAAUGGAGGAAACUCUGAUGCAGCGAUGCCGCGUGAGUGAAGAAGGCCCUUGGGUUGUAAAGCUCUUUCGUCGGGGAAGAAAAUGACUGUACCCGAAUAAGAAGGUCCGGCUAACUUUGUGCCAGCAGCCGCGGUAAUACGAAGGGACCUAGCGUAGUUCGGAAUUACUGGGCUUAAAGAGUUCGUAGGUGGUUGAAAAAGUUGGUGGUGAAAUCCCAGAGCUUAACUCUGGAACUGCCAUCAAAACUUUUCAGCUAGAGUAUGAUAGAGGAAAGCAGAAUUUCUAGUGUAGAGGUGAAAUUCGUAGAUAUUAGAAAGAAUACCAAUUGCGAAGGCAGCUUUCUGGAUCAUUACUGACACUGAGGAACGAAAGCAUGGGUAGCGAAGAGGAUUAGAUACCCUCGUAGUCCAUGCCGU